rnacentral:rRNA from 1 species
UACGUAGGGUGCAAGCGUUAAUCGGAAUUACUGGGCGUAAAGCGUGCGCAGGCGGUUUUGUAAGUCUGUCGUGAAAUCCCCGGGCUCAACCUGGGAAUGGCGAUGGAGACUGCAAGGCUAGAAUCUGGCAGAGGGGGGUAGAAUUCCACGUGUAGCAGUGAAAUGCGUAGAGAUGUGGAGGAACACCGAUGGCGAAGGCAGCCCCCUGGGUCAAGAUUGACGCUCAUGCACGAGAGCGUGGGGAGCGAACCGG